rnacentral:rRNA from 1 species
UAGGGAAUCUUCGGCAAUGGGGGGAACCCUGACCGAGCAACGCCGCGUGAGUGAAGAAGGUUUUCGGAUCGUAAAGCACUGUUGUUAAGGAAGAACGAGUGUGAGAAUGGAAAGUUCAUGCUGUGACGGUACUUAACCAGAAAGGGACGGCUAACUACGUGCCAGCAGCCGCGGUAAUACGUAGGUCCCGAGCGUUGUCCGGAUUUAUUGGGCGUAAAGCGAGCGCAGGAGGUUAGAAAAGUCUGAAGUGAAAGGCAGUAGCUCAACCAUUGUAGGCUUUGGAAACUGUUUAACUUGAGUGCAGAAGGAGAGAGUGGAAUUCCGUGUGGAGCGGUGAAAUGCGUAGAUAUAUGGAGGAACACCGGUGGCGAAAGCGGCUCUCUGGUCUGUAACUGACGCUGGGGCUAGAGAGCGUGGGGAACAAACAGG